rnacentral:rRNA from 1 species
CCUACGGUGCGCAGCAGUGGGGAAUAUUGGACAAUGGGGGGAACCCUGAUCCAGCGACGCCGCGUGAGUGAAGAAGUAUUUCGGUAUGUAAAGCUCUAUCAGCAGGGAAGAAAGAAAUGACGGUACCUGACUAAGAAGCCCCGGCUAACUACGUGCCAGCAGCCGCGGUAAUACGUAGGGGGCAAGCGUUAUCCGGAUUUACUGGGUGUAAAGGGAGCGUAGACGGCGAUGCAAGUCUGAAGUGAAAGGCGGGGGCCCAACCCCUGGACUGCUUUGGAAACUGUAUGGCUGGAGUGCAGGAGAGGUAAGUGGAAUUCCUAGUGUAGCGGUGAAAUGCGUAGAUAUUAGGAGGAAAACCAGUGGCGAAGGCGGCUUACUGGACUGUAACUGACGUUGAGGCUCGAAAGCGUGGGGAGCAAACAGGAUUAGAUACCCUUGUAGUC